GAAAUCAAGGGCGUAUGGUGGAUGCCUAGGUUCUAAAAGGCGAUGAAGGACGUGGUAAAACUGCGAUAAGCUUCGGGGAGGUGUUUAGCAACCUUUGAUCCGGAGAUUUCCGAAUGGGGAAACCCAACAACUUUGGUUGUUGUCUUUGCGCGAUUUCGUGCAUUGAAGCGUACCCGGGGAAGUAAAACAUUUCAGUACCCGGAGGAAAAGAAACUAAUAAGAAUUUCGUGAGUAGCGGCGAGCGAAAGCGAAAAAGCCCAAACCUAUGUACUUGUACAUGGGGGUUGUAAGACGACAGCGUCGCAUUUAUGUGAGGAGAGUUACAAAAUACAUUGUUAGAAAAAAGUGCUGGAAAGCACUACCUUAGAAGGUAAUAGUCCUGUAUUUUAAAACAUUGUAUCUCUUUUGCUGUUGUUCUUGAGUACUUCGAGACAUGAAUAGCUCGGAGGAAUCUGCCAGAACUAACUGGUAAGGCUAAAUACUUUUAGAGACCGAUAGUGAACUAGUACCGUGAGGGAAAGGUGAAAAGUAGUCCGGAAGGACGGUGAAAUAGACCUGAAACCAUAUGUCUACAAGGAGUAGGAGUCGCCACACCUCUUUGUGCUGAUAGAUUGUUGAGUGCCAUAUUUUGAGAUGAAGUAAUUGGUGUAUCAAUCUAUAAGUGCAGUGAGGUGUGGCCGACGACUGCGUGCCUAUUGAAGAAUGAGCCAACGAGUUUUGGUGUAUGGCGAGGCUAAGUCCCUAUGGGAUGGAGCCGUAGCGAAAGCGAGUAUGAAUAGUGCGUCUAAGUCUUGCACCAAAGACCCGAAGCGUUGUGAGCUUACCAUGAGCAGGGUGAAGUCGUGAGAAAUCACGGCGGAGGCCCGAACCGGUUGGUCGUGCGACUCCAUCGGAUGACUUGUGGUAAGGAGUGAAAAGCUAAUCGAACAACGUAAUAGCUGGUUCUCUCCGAAAUAGCUUUAGGGCUAGCGUUAUGUGAACCCUUGGGGGGUAGAGCACUGGAAGGAUUAAAUAGGGAGAAAUCUCGUUAAUCCUAUCAAACUCCGAAUACCCAAGAUUAUUGCAUAGCAGUUAGACUCCGGGGGCUAAGCUCCGGUGGUCAAAAGGGAAACAGCCCAGAUCUCAAGUUAAGGUCCCUAAAUCCAUGUUAAGUGCAAGGAAGGUGGUGAUAUUUCUCUGACACUGAGGAGGUUGGCUUAGAGGCAGCCAUCCUUUAAAGAUAGCGUAACAGCUCACUCAGUAAGAGAUUUUGCGCCAAAGAUAAUCGGGGCUAAACAUGGUACCGAAACUGAGGGCUUCGUUCGCAUCUCACUGCGUUCGAGCGAACUAAAUGUAAAAUGCAAAUCUCAAAAUGAAAAAUUAUUGUGUCGCCAUAGGCGACUCCACAAUUUUAAACUUUGAUUUUUAAAUUUUGAUUUUAGCGAGCAAUCGAGCAUAGCGAGAUGCGAGCGGAGCGGUAGGAGAGUAUUCCAUUCGCGCUGAAGGCAAAGGGGUGACCCAUGCUGGAGUGUAUGGAAGUAAGAAUGUUGGCACAAGUAACCGCAAUGGAGGUGAAAUCCCUCCACGCCGAAAGACUAAGGUUUCCUUGGCUAUGUUGAUCAGCCAAGGGUUAGUCGGGCCUAAGGGGAUGGCGAAAGCCGGACCCGAUGGACACAUGGUUAAUAUUCCAUGACUUGUAUAGUAAGUGACGGGAGGACGGAGUGUUGUACUUAAAGCGGAUAAUUGGAUUUCCGUUUGUAUCGUGAGGACGUAUUCUAGGCAAAUCCGGAAUACACAAAUCCGAGCGAAGCAUAAAUGUUUUGGCUACGGCCAGGGCAAAUUUUAAGGAGCAUGCUUCCAAGAAAAGUCUCUAAACUUAUUACUAUGCAAUCCGUACCGUAAACCGACACAGGUAGUCAGGUCGAGAAGACCAAGGCGAACGAGUGAGAGGUCCUCAAGGAACUCGGCAAAAUAGCAGCCGUAAGUUCGCGAUAAGGCUUGCCCAUAGCAAUAUGGGCCGCAGCUAAAGAAUCCCUGGCAACUGUUUAUCAAAAACACAGCUCCCUGCGAACUCGCAAGAGGAUGUAUAGGGGGUGACGCCUGACCAAUGCCAGAAGGUUAAAUAUCGGCGGUGUACGACAUUGUGUGCAUAAAAUUUUGUGCACAGAAUGUUGUAUGCUGACUGAUAUAAGCCCUGGUGAAUGUCGGCCGUAACUAUAAGUUGACCGUUGUAGUUACGUAAAUAAAUCUUGCUAUAUGCUGGAAACUCCGAGUAUUUCAAACUAGGCAUUUAAUACAGUAAUGUAUUAACGAACCCUAAAAAUGUUUGAAUGCGGACAAUCAGCAGGAAAGACUUUCCUUUUCUUAAUUUUUUUAGGAGAAGGAAGAAUCCUCAGAGACUACACGCAAGACAAACUAGAUUUAUAAUUGGAUAGUCGACAAAUCUAGGAUGAUGAUAUAGUCCGAUCUUUAUGGCAACAUAAAGCUAACAACGUGGUGCGAUAAAAAUGAUAAAUAGUUAGACAGUAUCAGACAAUUACAAAACUACUUUUAUGAACGGUCCUAAGGUAGCGUAAUUCCUUGUCUGGUAAGUUCAGACGUGCACGAAUGGCGUAAUGACUGGGGAACUGUCUCGAGGACUCGCUCGGUGAAAAUACAAUACCGGUGAAGAUGCCGGUUACCUGCAGUUAGACGAAAAGACCCCAGGAGCUUUACUGCAACUUGGUAUUGCGGUUAUGUUUCAACUGCGUAGCAUAGGUGGGAGACUUUGAAGCAUUUCUUU
rnacentral:rRNA from 1 species